UAGGGAAUCUUCCACAAUGGGCGAAAGCCUGAUGGAGCAACGCCGCGUGUGUGAUGAAGGCUUUAGGGUCGUAAAGCACUGUUGUAUGGGAAGAAAUGCUAGAAUAGGGAAUGAUUCUAGUUCGACGGUACCAUACCAGAAAGGGACGGCUAAAUACGUGCCAGCAGCCGCGGUAAUACGUAUGUCCCGAGCGUUAUCCGGAUUUAUUGGGCGUAAAGCGAGCGCAGACGGUUGAUUAAGUCUGAUGUGAAAGCCCGGAGCUCAACUCCGGAAUGGCAUUGGAAACUGGUUAACUUGAGUGUUGUAGAGGUAAGUGGAACUCCAUGUGUAGCGGUGGAAUGCGUAGAUAUAUGGAAGAACACCAGUGGCGAAGGCGGCUUACUGGACAACAACUGACGUUGAGGCUCGAAAGUGUGGGUAGCAAACAGGAUUAGAUACCCUGGUAGUCCACACCGUNNCGAUGAAUACUAGGUGUUAGGAGGNUUCCGCCUCNUAGUGNCNAAGCUAACNCAUUAAGUAUUCCGCCUGGGGAGUACGACCGCANGGUUG
rnacentral:rRNA from 1 species